GUCAAUACUUGUAUCAAGAAAAUCAUAUUUUUUUUCUUUUUUCUUUCUUGAAUCAAAUAUUAAAAUAAAUUUUCAUUUAAUGAAAAAUUACACGUGGACUGUUCCAUAAAACAAAUGAAUAAAAUAGAACCAUUACAACUUUAAAUGCUUGAAGUCUGAUAAUUUGUAUUCUUCUAUUUGAGAAGAUUUGUUUGGUUGCAUAGUUCAAACAAUUCAAACUUUUAUAUUCAAAAUGGUCUAAGGAAUAAUAAUUCUCAUCAAGAGAACAUAUCCACAAAUAAUUAUUAAAAACAUAGAUGAUGCCUUUGCAUACAGUUAUUUACUCCUAUAUAUGUAAAAGGAAAGCUUAUUUAUUUAUUUAUUUUAUUUCUCAAUGGCUCAUAAACAUAAAGCAAGGCAAUAUACAAAUAAAAAUGAAUUGGGAUGAAACAAUGUGUGUGAGGAU
rnacentral:lncRNA from 1 species